CACCACUCAAGCCUCGCUUGGUCUUGGGCGUCCGCGGUUCCGCCGCGCGCCUCAAUGUCUCCGGCUGAGCCGUUCGUCUCGAAGCGUUGUGAUCCACAGUCCGCUUGCGAGGGCGAUCGGCUUGUUCGCCGUUAAACCCCCCAUUUUUCA
rnacentral:misc_RNA from 1 species